ensembl:lncRNA
CACGUAAAGAGACGACCUCCAGAUGUGGGCUCCCCGGGUGCGGAGGAGGGCAGGCGUGCCGUGCCAGACCAGACCAGACCAGGGAUUGGGGGACGGUCUGCAUCUGCAUCAGGAGCGCCUCCAGCCCUUUGGCCAGGUGAAAUCGUGUCAUUGUCGUUCACUAAUUGACUCAGCAGGGGGCCAAUGUUUAUGUGUCCUUAGUGUUGAAAACACUUCAUAUGGAUUUAUUCAAAAGUCGUGAUGGAGUCGUAUCAGGAGGUUGAGUUGAACAGAGACAAGCCCAGAAGUGUAGCUGUAUUUAUGGGUCAGGCUUCGCAGGCAUCCCUCAGAGGAUGAAGAUGGAGCAGAAACGCACCGGAACAGCCGUGGCUCCUUCACGCACUCCAGUCUCUCUCCCCAAGCUCGCUCACGUGGAGGGCGGGCGAAGGUGACCCCCUCCGGAGAGGCAUAGAGGAUGAAAUUGCAGCCCGGGUACAAGGAGAGUGAGAACACAGUGGGCAGGAGCAGCUCAGUGGCCCUGGAGGAUGUGCACGGGUGGUCAAUGUUCUGCCGCGUCCCAUCUGCCCAGGGCAGGACACGCAGAGCCAGGUUCUUUGGCCUCGGGCUCUGCAGUCAGACACAGGAGCGCAUAUUCGGACUGAUCCACUGACUAGCAACGCGACUCUGAGCAAGUGGCCUAACCUCGCUAAGCCUCAGUUUCCUCAGCUGCAAAACAGGGAUGAGAACCACACAACACGGGGUUAUUGCAAAGACAGAAGGAAGACGAGUGUGUGCGCAGAGGGGAGAGCUCUGAGGGUCUGCUAACUUCAUUUCCGCACCAACACAGCCUUGACGGGACAGUGCUCCCCAUUGGUCAGACCCAACAGAGAGCUGGAGGACAAGCCUGCUGCGCUCCACAGAGGUCAGCCUCCUGGGAUACAGGGCAGGGUGGAGAAGGAUGGAGAAUGGGUCUCCAGGGGCAAAUGGAGAAUGCCCAGCUCGCUACCCAACAUAAACUGUGUCUAUCAUCAGUCUAUCAUUUCACCUUGUUUCUCCCCACCCCAUCGUGCAUUUACCAUUAUCUGAAACUGUCUUAUUCAUCUAUUGUGUGUUUACUGUCUACCUCCCCCCAGAAUAAUGUGAUUUCCAUGGAGAAGGGACCAUCUUAUUCACCACUAUAUUCACAGUCCCUGGCACAUAGUAGGUGUUCAAUAAAUAUUUAUGCAUGGAAAAAAAUGAAUUCACGUUCAGAAGCCAAAACACAUGCUCAGGCCCAGGGUACUCCCGGCUGGUUUUUCUCCCUUCAGAAUGCUGAGAGAUAAUCAGCUGGGAUGAUCUGUGCCAUUCCAGAAUUAGAACUCCUCUAGGACCUCUGAUCCACCCUCUCUUCCCAUACUCCCCCAUCAGCCAGCUGCACUCCUGGCACAACAGUGAUGUUUCAUCCGCAGGUGCCUCUGCCAUCUCUCCCAACUUCCUAACCCUGAGACCCAGCUCCACCUGCCUCCCCCUGAAGCCUCUCUGACGUCUGCAGCCUUCUUACCCUCAUCAUUCCUCUUCACAGACGUGCCCAUCGCUCCUACUGCUCACCUAUUUCUCUAGACCUGUGCUGGCCUGUGCAGUCACCACUAGCCACACUAUCCAUCCAGCACUUGCAUUGUGGCUGUCCAAACCGAGAUGUGCCGUACGUGUAAAGCACACACCAGACUUCAAAGAAUUAGUGUGAAUAAAAGAAUGUAAAAAUCUUGAUUACAUGUUGAAAUGAUAACAUUUUGGGUACAUUGGGUUAAAUACAAUAUAUUAUUGACUAAUUUCUCCUGUUUGUUUUCAAUAUAGCUACUAGAAGCUUUAAAAUUACAUAUGUGGCUCACAUUGGAUUUCUGUUGGACAGAGCUGCUCCAGACUAAAUGUCUCCGCCAUGAAGAGCCACCGAUGGUUUCUGGGAGAAGUGUGACCUGUCCAGAGGACUGCAUGUGGGACUGGCCCGGGAAAGCUUCGAGGAGGUGAACCUGAAACUUGACUUUGAAGAAUGAACCUCAGAGCAGAGCUUGGUGUAGAAUUCACUUGCUAUCUGCACUCACUCUGCUCCCUGUGUUUCUUAAUUCUGUCUUGUCACUUUGCUUUUCAAGGUUCCUUGCUUUCUUUCUCUGCCACCAUGUUCCCUAUAACAUGUGCUCCUCCUCCCUCUUGAGCCCCAGCAAUCUUGGCACUGGCCUUGCUCUGUCUGGCUUUCUCAGUCAACAUUUCUUUCAUUAUUAAAUUUGCUUCUCUCAAAAUACAUUUUCAAAUGUUCAUACUAUAGCUUCUCUUUCUAUCAUAGGAAAAAUUUAUCUUAGAGAACUUUAACACUGAAAGGGACAUCAUAAACCAACUACUCUUCAUUUCUUCAAGUUCAGAGUAAAGGAAACUGGCUUACACAGGAAAAGCGACUUGCCUAAGGUCACUGGAAUCAGAGCCAAAGCUGGAAGAAGAGUCUGUGUCAUCUGGUUCGGGUAAACUGGCUUCUCUGUACCUGGCCACCUCCUGUGGGUAUAACCUGGAGAUUAAGCUGACAACUACACAGCAGCACGAGCUUUCAGACACUAAGAAGAGACACAAUGGCCCUCUGAAUGAAGAUUGAUGUCCCCUAAGACAAUCCAGGAAUACUUUCAGUCAUGGGGCCCUGGGGUUUGCAACCAAACUCAGUUGUCUUGGGGUCAAUUAAACUGACCUUUGGAAAGCACUCUCCAUGGACUCUCCAAGUCAGUCUCUGAUUUGCUUUCUUUUUUCAUCCUUUUCAAACACAAGUGAAUGACAUAAAUUUUGUGACUGAUAAGCCUCCCUUUUUCUGAUCCUCCAAGAGAAAAUGUCUGGCCCGGAAAUAACCAUUUUUUUAAGACUGCUGUCCAUUCUUGGCAAAAAAGUCAUGUCAAACAUAGCCCUGGGCUUCCUCAAACUUGCAACCUGCCUUCCGCCAUCAUUUUAACAGAGAGGGCUUCCCAGACAUCAUGAACUUUGCAUGUAAUCUUUGUUUGUCUUUCAAAGAGAUUUGGGGCUGGAUUUUCCAUGACAGUCUGUUAAUGUCAACAUAACCAUUGGUGAUAUGUUGUGUUGUGGAGGCAGUGGAGGUGAGCAAAAGAGCCAUCGAACCACCCUAAAUGGACCAGUCCCACUUACUCUUCCGGCAUUGUCUUCAGAUAGCUAUCACAUCCCUUCCUGAAGACGUCCAGGAGGGGACACACCAUGCCUUGACUCUGUGGCCUCAACCUGAUGCUUUAUCAUUAGACCUUCACAAAGCUGAUUCUCCUGCCAAAACUGUAAUGCCUGGAACAUUCGUUUACUCUCUUCCUUUCUCAGGUCAGUCCCUAAAACAAGGAAAUGGCUGCUCAACCUUGUUCCUCUCCUUGCGUUCUUGCAGAUGACCACUGUUUCUGUUGCGACCGGCACCAAAGGCUCUCGAGGGUACAGGCAGCUUGCAGGGAAGGUUUCCUUGGACUCGUGGCCCCAGAUCCUCCUCCUGGGCUGCCUUUCAGACAUCCACCCUUGGAAAGCUGGUAGCUCGCUUCUCUGCUGCCUCUUCACUUCUUCGAGAUGCCAAGGAACCUACUGCAUGCAAAGUGACAGUUCUUGCCAUGUUUGAAUGUGCACUUACAGUUCCUAAUUAAAUAAUAACUUUCACAGCACUCUGCUGCUCUAAGCCUGAACAGCAUUUCCAUUACCUCCUCUGCUAAAGUAAAAAUUACAGGCCUGUCAUUUCCUGGAUUUUCUCAUAAAUGCAAGCAUUAAAUUAUACCUACACUCAUCCAUUAGUAACUUCUCUUUGUAGUGGGUGUUUAAAUGUCUUAUAAUGACUAUCCUAUCUCUCCAACUUUCCAUCCCUCUCAGAAUAUUAAUGAAUUCCACCUUGUUCUAGAGUUCCUGUCUAGUUU